rnacentral:rRNA from 1 species
UAGGGAAUUUUCGGCAAUGGGGGAAACCCUGACCGAGCAACGCCGCGUGAAGGAAGAAGUAAUUCGUUAUGUAAACUUCUGUCAUAGAGGAAGAACGGUGGAUAUAGGGAAUGAUAUCCAAGUGACGGUACUCUAUAAGAAAGCCACGGCUAACUACGUGCCAGCAGCCGCGGUAAUACGUAGGUGGCGAGCGUUAUCCGGAAUUAUUGGGCGUAAAGAGGGAGCAGGCGGCACUAAGGGUCUGUGGUGA